GGAAUAUUAUGAAAGAAUAUAUGGCAAGGUUGGAGACCAAGAAUUAAGAUAACAAAGGCAUUGGGAUAUCUUGCAAGUGUGUUAUGGUGAAUUCCAAAUUAAUGAAAUAUUUAAAUAUAGCUCCCUAAUAUUGGGAGGAUAUGUUAUAAAGAGAAGUCACCCUUCCCUCGAUUUAAAUAGAUCAACAAUCUAUGCAAUUUAUUAGUUGAGUUGAGAUGCAAAGAUUAAUGACAUGAUGGCAUGAUGAAUGCAACAAGCAAAAAGAAACACGGCAACAACGAAAAACAUGAAAGCCGUCUGGAGCGUCGGUCUCGGGCCAUUACAACACUCCACCACUACAAGAGGAUCUCAUCCCGAGAUCUAGGAUGGCACCGGAGAGUAACAGAAGAGGAAGAGAGGAGGUAAAACUAAGUUGCUUCUUCGACCAAUGAGUGAAACCACGAACCUUGAGAGGUUGAACAAAUUUAAAGAAACAAAACAACGGAGAUGACCAAGAUUGCAAACAGUCCGUUGGACAAGAGGAACAAGGAAUAUGAUGAGAACCAAGAGCUUAGGGGACAAGGUAGACUUUGAAGCCACUCCGGUUAAAACUAGAUAGAGAAGGAAUAAGAUUGAUAUAAUUUGGGCAGCACUUCGAGUGAAAAAAGAAGGAAAACUUGAUAAGAUGUAAAGAACUUGACACAGCACUCUGGUUAAGUGGAUAAGCACGAAACGAACACGAUCCUCACAAAACGAGGUGAUGGGUGAAGAGCACAACAUCACAAUGCCUCCGUAACGAAAGAAUAGAAGUUAGACCGUUGGGAUAAAGGGACAGAGAAGAAAAUGACAACUUUUGCCACAAGAGAAAUUGGAAAGCACCCUUCCAAGAAGGUUAUAACAAAGUUGUUGGAAAACCAACAACGAAAUGAGUAAGCUUGUAGUGGGCUUAUGGAAAACUUCUCAAAAUUGAGGCGAAAUUCUGCCACUACGGAAACAAAUAAUAUAAUUUAUAACACCAAUGAGAUGAAAAACUUCUUCCACCAAGAUGAUAAAGAAAUAACUUGGACCAUUGAUAAUCACCACAAUAGCAACAUUCCUUAGGGAAGGCUUCAGGUGAAAUCUAUACCAAGAUAACUCACACGAAGAGAUUAAUGGAUUUAAAAUACCUCAUUCUUGACAACAUGUGAAUCGCGAAACAUGAAUGGAAAUUGUCAAGAAUGAUAUAACACCACCUCAAAAGAUAAGGUAGAAAGAAUUGCACUUCGGAUGCAAGAUGAAGAAUGCUUGAACUCCACAAAACAAAUCAUGUGUUUAGCACCAUGUUUAUUUUAGAGUGUAGCUUGCCGGAUCAUGACUCUGAGAGAAAAAACUUGAAGAACAAUUAAAGAAUGAAAGGAAUCCUUGAUGAACCACCAUGUAGAGCCUCCAUGAAGAACUCCGGUAAUAAAAGGAUGAUAAAAGGGAAGAGAAGUUGAAAACACAAGGUGAAGCCUUGCAAUAAUUUAGAUGGAGCUUCACGACGAGAUAAUGCGGAAAACUUGGAGCUCCAGAAAAGAAAAGAUGAAACACUAGAACCGAGAAUUACUUCAUCAUGAACAAUCGCCGAAAGAAAAGAAUCGAAUCACCUCGAGGAAAUAAGAAUAAGAUUUAUUGUAUGCUUAUCCUUCAUCAAAUUAAAUUGAUGACAAGCAAUGGAUUUGGCAUACUACUUAUUCCUGUAGAAAGGAUUAAAAGAGAUAUAGCGCAAACUUGAGAAGGUAUUGAUGGAACCACCGGUGGGAUUGGAAACAACGACUGAAAUGAUACGGUAGCAAAGGAAGAGGAAUCUUGAACGAACCACCAUAAGAAUUUAAAAUAAAAGUAGCAAAGGCACAAUUCACCGAGAAGAAUGGGAAAACGAAUGAAGAUACUUGAGGCGAUUUAGAUACAUGAGAACGAAGAGAUCAUGAACUGACUAGAGGGUAUUUGAACGAUGCACUGGUAAGAUUUGGAGAACGAUAGCUACACGCUAAGAAUGAAUAAUUACGACAUGAUGGCCUUCGGAGGAAAGAAAUGGAAACAACUCAUGAAAUGCUCCGAAUGGGUGAAAAGAAUUCCCACAAUCGUAAACAAUUAUGAGAGGAUGGCGUCAAACUUGAACUACGCAUAUUUGGAAGAACGGGUAAGGAUUUAAGAGGAACUCUUCUUCGGUCUUCAAAAUCCGAGAAUGACGAGGAGAAACACCACCCAAUUGUUGAGACACUCCGGAACAAAGAAGAAUAGAAAUGAUGAACCAACAAUGACAAUAUUCUGAAAGCGAUCUUGGAGAAGGAAUAUGACUGAUGAAAAUUCAUUCUUACAUCAAACUUCGAAAGACUUUGGGAAUCGCUCUAGAUAAAUUAGAAGAGUCAGGUAAAAUCCCGGAAAAAGACCUGUGGGUUAGGGCCCACUCGAAAGAAACAUCAUUGAAGGAUUGCUUGAAAUAGAGGUUGCACCGGUAGAAUUAAAUAGCUUGAAUGAGAGAAAAACCUUGAAGUAACUCGAACGGAUUAAGAAUGGAAAUAUGAUUCUUCUGAGAUAUCUUGAGCACUCCGGAUAAGAAUAGAGAUAGGUGAACAAUUAAGAGGUGCACCGACAUGGAAAAACAUUUGAAACGAGGAAAGGGAUAUGAUCAACAUCGAAAGCUUGAAUUAAAUCCACCGGAGAAGAAAAAUAACGAAGAAUGAUGAACUCAAAGCUCCGUUAGUAUCUUCCUGAGAAUCACCAGAUAAGAACAUUGACGGGAAAGAAUGGAGAAAAUUCACAUCCAUAAGAUGGAUACUUGAUUAAGAUAUAUGAGUCCUUGAAGAAGAAAAGGGUGGGAGGGCGGGAAAACAAAGACAACUUGGGAUGGAUGAAACAAACACCAUUGAGAAAACUUAGAGUUGAUCUUGCGGAUGUUGAAAAUUAUCGGAUCCACUUGAAGAGAAGCACGCCGGUUUGGAAAAGAAUUGACAUGACAAUCUCGAUAAACAAGAAGGAUUAGCACUCUCAUAGAAAUAUGAGAAUACCGCUUGAAAGGUAUGGAAUCAACACUUGACAUUGAAGCAACUUGAAUACCAAAAAUAAAACAAAACAAAGGAUUGGCUUGCAGAAAUAAGCCGGAACAAAUACAUAUGAUAGAGAUUUACCCAAUCCCAUAUCAUGCAUCUGUCGGAAAGAUAUUCUAGGAGCUACUUGAAUUCCCACCUAUAAACUCCUGAAACUUUCUAGUUAUGCAAUCUGGUGUUGGGGAUACAGGGGAAGCAAUAAAUAUCUCACCCAAACUAACAAUACCUACAUCCAGCUGUAUCCAUCCGUCAACACAUAACCAAGAAAACUCCGAAAAUCGUGUACCUCAACCUUCGAAAAGCAUCUGUUAUACGAGCUAUGGCAAUACUCCCGAACUCCCCAGUACUGGGUGGCGUCGAGGUUAUCUCACCAACAACUACAUAAAAGAGAUUUUCGAUGUCGGCAAAACUCAGGUAUUCCAGAACUGCAAUGAUAAAAUUAUGACGAUAACACCUCGGAGCUCAACUACCCGGGACACUGCCACAACCCCUAAAUGUCAGGAGGCACCAAGAACAAUGUUCUCGUCAUAAGAAUAUCGGAACGAUCCCAAGAUACCCGCGUGAUCCUAAAUUUUUUUAGUGAAAUUUGAGGCGAGGAAAGACAAAACAUCUACGUUAGGAGUCCUCACCAGAGCGGCGAAGGGGGCUGAGGAGUAAAAAGAAUCCUACUCUCUGAUAUAUAUAAUCCUAAGACUCAAAAUAGUUUUUUUUAGACUCAACAACGGCCAACAACCAAGGGGGCUCCUAUGGUCGGUCGAGGCUCUGAUACCAACUUGUCACGCCCAAUAUGCGACCCUAUCCUAAAGGAACUCGAUGGUCCCACCAAGGAUAGAAGUGCAUAUUGGAGACGCUUUUGCAAGGUGGAUAUCAUUACAUCAACAUUACAUAAUAGAUGCGGAUACAUACAAGAGGCAUAGAAUGCCACACGAAUACAUCAAUACAUCAUACAUAAGAUCAACAUUCGACUACGGAUGAAACACAAACAGAAGCUCAAACAACAUCCACCCUGCUAACACAGGCUGCCGACCUGGAACCUAUCCCCUGAUCGAAGAAGAAGCAGAAGAAGAACUCCAAAACAAGCAAACAUCGCUCUCGCGUCAUGACCAUCGCAUAACCUGUACCUGCAACUGUUGUUGUAGUAAUCUGUGAGCCAUGAGGACACAGCAAUCCCAUUACCAUGGGUAUCAAGACUAGCAAAGCUUAAUGGGUAUGGAAAGGAUAAGUGGUGAGGUUGCAGCAGCGACUAAGCAUGUAUGGUGGCUAACAUACGCAAAUAAGAGCGAGAAGAGAGCAAACGGAACGGUCGUGAAGCUAGCAAUGAUCAAGAGGUGAUCCUGAACUCCUACUUACGUCAAACAUAACCCAAAACCGUGUUCACUUCCCGGACUCCGUCGAAAAGAGACCAUCACGGCUACACACACGAUUGAUGCGUUUUAAUUCGGAUCUGGUGUCAAAUUAUCUACAACCGGGCAUUAACAAAUUCCCAUCUGCCACAUAACCGCGGGCACGACUUUCAAAAGAUAAUACCAUGCAGGGGUGUCCCAACUUAGCCCAUCACAAGCUGUCACGGUCAACGAAGGAUAUUCCUUCUCCCAGGAAGACCCGAUCAGUCUCGGAAUCCCGGUUUACAAGACAUUUCGACAAUGAUAAAACAAGACCAGCAAGACCGCCCGAUGCGCCGACAUCCCGAUAGGAGCUGCACAUAUCUUGUUCUCAGGGCAACACCGGAUGAGCAAUCCGUACAACUAAAACCAGACCUCAAGUUUCCCUGAGGAGGCGCUGCAAAGGGCUCUGGUUCGGACCAGCACUGAGAGAAGCACUUGCCCAGGGGGGCUAAAUAAAGAUGACCCUCGAGAGAGCGACUCCCAAGGGAAAAGUAGGUGGUGGUGUGGCAAAUGGUAAAACCAAGGUUGGGCCUUGCUGGAGAAGUUUUAUUCAAAGCGAACUGUCAAGGGGGUCCCAUAAAUCACCCAACCGCAUAAGGAACACAAAAUCCGGGAACAUAACACCGGUAUGACGGAAACUAGGGCGGCAAGAGUGGAACAAAACACCAGGCAUAAGGCCGAGUCUUCCACCCUUUAUCAAGUAUAUAGAUGCAUUAAUUAAAUAAGAGAUAUUGUGAUAUCCCAACAUAAUCAUGUCCAUCACGGAGCAUCUUCAACUUCACCUGCGACUAACAAUGCUAUAAGAGGGGCUGAGCAAAAGCGGUAACAUAGCCAAGCAACGGUUUGCUUGGAAGGGUGAAAAAGGUUAGAGGCUGACAUGGCAAUUUGGGAGGCUUGAUCAACAAGAGAUAGGUAGCGCGGCAAAGCGAUAGAACGAAGAAACUAGCAUAGCAAUGAUAGUAAUGAGAUCCAAAGUGACGGUCAUCUUGCCCGAAAUCCCGCAAGGAAGAAGAAUGAGUCCAUGAAGAAGACAAACGGGAGUAGUCGAACGAAUCCUCACAAUCGCAACAUUACUGGAACUAAGAAGCAACACCGGAAAGAAACAAACAACAUGGUAAAUGCACAAGCAUAAACAUAGCAUGAUGCACAAACAACUAUGAUGCAUGUCCAGUUUAAAGAGGCAUGGCAUGGCAAAGUACACAAACAAUACUACAAGUUAAGUGGAGCUCGAUAUGCAACGAGUAGCAUAUUGACAAAACACCACAUUCAAGUAUUUAGUUCUCUCUCGUUUAUGUACCCAGCAAUAUUAAAUGUUGUUAAACAAGGCAAGAGGUGAAGAAUAAUUAAACUAACUAUUUAGGCAAGUUUAAAUGAGGCCGGAAACAACAAACAACAAUUCUAGAAAUCCCCAUAUGUUAUUUAGCAAUUUAACGCAAACAACAAUUUUAAACAUUUUAAUUGUUCUUAUCAUGAUGCGGAUGACAUAUGCAAGUUAUAUGCAAUUUUUAUGAAAAUGUUGACAUAAGCAUGUUAUGAAGCAUUUGUCACCGUGGUGGAAAGAAAGGGUGCCACGGGAACGAAUUCGAAAAUGAUGCCACAGCAACAUAUCGAUUCUGGUAGCUCAUGGAGAUACCGGUGCAAAAGGAAGUGUGACGUGAGCGAUUCAUGCAAGAUGGUGGGGUGAUCCCGGAUUCCGGGUUCCCACGGGACGGCGGCAUGGAAAACGAGAAGGAACGUGCAAAGACAACUUGGACACGUUCUAACAUGAGCAUCUCAUACAACAUGCAUUCGUUCACGGGAGGUCGUCUCGGCAGUUAUACCUUUGUAGCAUGCGUUUCAAGGCGGAACAAGUUCGUCGAGGGAAGUAGUGGUACUCGCGGGUCAUAGCGGAAGUAGUUGUACUCAUGCCGUAGUGGAAGUAGACAUUCUCGCGACGGAAGUUGUACACGUGUCGAGGUACUUGUCGAAUCCCUAGGAUCGUCGGGGACGUAGUGGAACUUGAUGGUCUCGGGUCUUGGCGAUGGUAGUCGUACAACGUUCUGUAGACGUUCGGGGUCGUCGGCAGAGAUACUUGUCGCAUUGCCGGGCGUAGUCGAUCUUGGCGUAGGGGCACUUGUGCGUCCCAAAAUUGCUCCUGUUCGGGGAGGUACCAUGACAACAACUUGAGGCGAGGCUACGUGUGGGACGUGCAAGGAGGAGUGAGGGUUGCUAGUCUUGCAUCCAGGGAAAGGAACACGGGUCAGUGGUGCGAGGAACCCAAGGGAAGAGGGCAACAACAGAGGUUGUACACAGCAAAAAACAGGUUGUGGCCUUGGCGGAGGCUACAACCCACAAUGGAGCAGAGAGGAGGCGAGGCAGGAGAAGCAGGACUUGGCGGAUUCGGUGGCUGGGUGGUGGAGCAGAGGAGAUCCAGACCAGCUCGGGGCCCGACGCAAACUUGAACAAGGUCUUGAAAAACCAAAGGAGGCGGCGGCCCUGGCUCCUGCAGGAGGUGGGCGGCUGCGAGGCGACGAGGAGAAGGCGGAGGGCGGCGCCGGAAUAUGGCAGCAGCUUGGCUAGGAGGACGACGGAGGCAGCGGUGGUUGCUGGUCGGCGCGAGGGGGUGGUGAGGCACGGGAGGAGGCCUCCAGGCAUUGGGGGCUAGGCAGAGGAGGAAGGGGCAUGACGGGGUGGCCGAGGAUGGGCGCCAUGGGGUUGCAGGCAGCGGAGAGGCGCGGGGCGUCGUGGCCAAGCGGAGGGAGGAGGAGGCGCGGAUGGGACGGCGCCGGUCGCCGACGUCAGGGCCCAUGGUGGAGCUCGUGGUGGUUGGUGGUGGCUCGGGACGAGGAUGGACACAGGGGAGAGGCGGUCGGGAAUGGGGCAAGGGCGUCGCUCCUCUGUACAUGCGUGCGUGGCGGUGGACAGGAACGAGAGGGAGACAUGGGGAUCGAGAGGAGGGGAUCGGGGUAGCUAGGGUUAACAGCGGGGCGCGGCUGGGCCUGUGGAAUGGGCCGGUCUGGUUGGUCAGGCCCAAGAGGCCGGCUGGGCUGGCUCCUCUCUCCUCUCUUCUCUUAUAACAGAGAAAAAGAAAGAAAAGGGAAGAAAAGAAAAGGUUAGAGAAAGAGUUUGGGCAUGGGGAUUAUUUUCUCGGACUCACAAAAAUAUGCUUGUUCCGAGAAAAUAGAAAAAGCCAUGAUUGAAAGAUGUAAAUUCAAACUCAUUUGAAUUUAAUUCAAAUGGGUUUGAACUAGGACUUGAUAAAAGGAAGGUCCAAAAAUGUCAGAUUUUUGGUGGAGCUCCAGAAUAUUAUGAAAGAAUAUAUGGCAAGGUUGGAGACCAAGAAUUAAGAUAACAAAGGCAUUGGGAUAUCUUGCAAGUGUGUUAUGGUGAAUUCCAAAUUAAUGAAAUAUUUAAAUAUAGCUCCCUAAUAUUGGGAGGAUAUGUUAUAAAGAUAAGUCACCUUUCCCUCGAUUUAAAUAGAUCAACCAUCUAUGCAAUUUAUUAGUUGAGUUGAGAUGCAAAGAUUAAUGACAUGAUGGCAUGAUGAAUGCAACAAGCAAAAAAA
rnacentral:lncRNA from 1 species